rnacentral:rRNA from 1 species
AUUGAACGCUGGCCGCAGGCCUAACACAUGCAAGUCGAGCGGAUGAAGGGAGCUUGCUCCUGGAUUCAGCGGCGGACGGGUGAGUAAUGCCUAGGAAUCUGCCUGGUAGUGGGGGAUAACGUCCGGAAACGGGCGCUAAUACCGCAUACGUCCUGAGGGAGAAAGUGGGGGAUCUUCGGACCUCACGCUAUCAGAUGAGCCUAGGUCGGAUUAGCUAGUUGGUGGGGUAAAGGCCUACCAAGGCGACGAUCCGUAACUGGUCUGAGAGGAUGAUCAGUCACACUGGAACUGAGACACGGUCCAGACUCCUACGGGAGGCAGCAGUGGGGAAUAUUGGACAAUGGGCGAAAGCCUGAUCCAGCCAUGCCGCGUGGGUGAAGAAGGUCUUCGGAUUGUAAAGCACUUUAAGUUGGGAGGAAGGGCAGUAAGUUAAUACCUUGCUGUUUUGACGUUACCAACAGAAUAAGCACCGGCUAACUUCGUG